AAUCCAUAGGUUAAUGAGGCGAACCGGGGGAACUGAAACAUCUAAGUACCCCGAGGAAAAGAAAUCAACCGAGAUUCCCCCAGUAGCGGCGAGCGAACGGGGAGGAGCCCAGAGCCUGAAUCAGCAUGUGUGUUAGUGGAAGCGUCUGGAAAGGCGCGCGAUACAGGGUGACAGCCCCGUACACAAAAGCGCAUGUGCUGUGAGCUCGAUGAGUAGGGCGGGACACGUGGUAUCCUGUCUGAAUAUGGGGGGACCAUCCUCCAAGGCUAAAUACUCCUGACUGACCGAUAGUGAACCAGUACCGUGAGGGAAAGGCGAAAAGAACCCCGGCGAGGGGAGUGAAAAAGAACCUGAAACCGUGUACGUACAAGCAGUGGGAGCACCCUUUGGGGUGUGACUGCGUACCUUUUGUAUAAUGGGUCAGCGACUUAUAUUCUGUAGCAAGGUUAACCGCAUAGGGGAGCCGGAGGGAAACCGAGUCUUAAUUGGGCGUUAAGUUGCAGGGUAUAGACCCGAAACCCGGUGAUCUAGCCAUGGGCAGGUUGAAGGUUGGGUAACACUAACUGGAGGACCGAACCGACUAAUGUUGAAAAAUUAGCGGAUGACCUGUGGCUGGGGGUGAAAGGCCAAUCAAACCGGGAGAUAGCUGGUUCUCCCCGAAAGCUAUUUAGGUAGCGCCUCGUGAAUUCAUCUCCGGGGGUAGAGCACUGUUUCGGCUAGGGGGCCAUCCCGGCUUACCAACCCGAUGCAAACUGCGAAUACCGGAGAAUGUUAUCACGGGAGACACACGGCGGGUGCUAACGUCCGUCGUGAAGAGGGAAACAACCCAGACCGCCAGCUAAGGUCCCAAAGUCAUGGUUAAGUGGGAAACGAUGUGGGAAGGCCCAGACAGCCAGGAUGUUGGCUUAGAAGCAGCCAUCAUUUAAAGAAAGCGUAAUAGCUCACUGGUCGAGUCGGCCUGCGCGGAAGAUGUAACGGGGCUAAACCAUGCACCGAAGCUGCGGCAGCGACGCUUAUGCGUUGUUGGGUAGGGGAGCGUUCUGUAAGCCUGCGAAGGUGGCCUGUGAGGGUUGCUGGAGGUAUCAGAAGUGCGAAUGCUGACAUAAGUAACGAUAAAGCGGGUGAAAAGCCCGCUCGCCGGAAGACCAAGGGUUCCUGUCCAACGUUAAUCGGGGCAGGGUGAGUCGACCCCUAAGGCGAGGCCGAAAGGCGUAGUCGAUGGGAAACGGGUUAAUAUUCCCGUACUUGGUGUUACUGCGAAGGGGGGACGGAGAAGGCUAUGUUGGCCGGGCGACGGUUGUCCCGGUUUAAGCGUGUAGGUGUGUGUUCCAGGUAAAUCCGGUUCACUUUAACACUGAGGCGUGACGACGAGGCACUACGGUGCUGAAGCAACAAAUGCCCUGCUUCCAGGAAAAGCCUCUAAGCAUCAGGUAACAUCAAAUCGUACCCCAAACCGACACAGGUGGUCAGGUAGAGAAUACCAAGGCGCUUGAGAGAACUCGGGUGAAGGAACUAGGCAAAAUGGUGCCGUAACUUCGGGAGAAGGCACGCUGACACGUAGGUGAAGUGAUUUACUCAUGGAGCUGAAGUCAGUCGAAGAUACCAGCUGGCUGCAACUGUUUAUUAAAAACACAGCACUGUGCAAACACGAAAGUGGACGUAUACGGUGUGACGCCUGCCCGGUGCCGGAAGGUUAAUUGAUGGGGUCAGCGCAAGCGAAGCUCCUGAUCGAAGCCCCGGUAAACGGCGGCCGUAACUAUAACGGUCCUAAGGUAGCGAAAUUCCUUGUCGGGUAAGUUCCGACCUGCACGAAUGGCGUAAUGAUGGCCAGGCUGUCUCCACCCGAGACUCAGUGAAAUUGAACUCGCUGUGAAGAUGCAGUGUACCCGCGGCAAGACGGAAAGACCCCGUGAACCUUUACUAUAGCUUGACACUGAACAUUGAGCCUUGAUGUGUAGGAUAGGUGGGAGGCUUUGAAGUGUGGACGCCAGUCUGCAUGGAGCCGACCUUGAAAUACCACCCUUUAAUGUUUGAUGUUCUAACGUGGACCCGU
rnacentral:rRNA from 1 species